GACUCUCGACAACGGAUAUCUCGGCUCUCGCAUCGAUGAAGAACGUAGUGAAAUGCGAUACUUGGUGUGAAUUGCAGAAUCCCGUGAACCAUCGAGUCUUUGAACGCAAGUUGCGCCCGAAGCCAUCCGGCCGAGGGCACGUCUGCCUGGGCGUCU
rnacentral:rRNA from 2 species